rnacentral:rRNA from 1 species
CAGUAGCCGCGGGAAUACGUAGGGUGCGAGCGUUAAUCGGAAUUACUGGGCGUAAAGCGUGCGCAGGCGGUUUUGUAAGACAGGCGUGAAAUCCCCGGGCUCAACCUGGGAAUGGCGCUUGUGACUGCAAAGCUAGAGUGCGGCAGAGGGGGAUGGAAUUCCGCGUGUAGCAGUGAAAUGCGUAGGUAUGCGGAGGAACACCGAUGGCGAAGGCAAUCCCCUGGGCCUGCACUGACGCUCAUGCACGAAAGCGUGGGGAGCAAACAGGAUUAGAUACCCCGGUAGUCCCUGUCUCUUAUAC